CCUUCGCCAGCCCGCUCAAGAAACUCAAAGGGAAUUCGAGGGGGCCCGCACAAGCGGAGGAACAUGUGGUUUAAUUCGAUGAUACGCGAGGAACCUUACCUGGGCUAGAACGCAAUCGGAAUCAGGCCGAAAGGUCUGCGCCAGCGAUGGCCGCUUGCGAGGUGCUGCAUGGUUGUCGUCAGCUCGUGCCGUGAGGUGUCGGGUUAAGUCCCAUAACGAGCGCAACCCCUACUGCUAGUUGCCAGCGGGGUCAUGCCGGGGACUCUAGCGGAACUGCCAGCGUAAGCUGCGAGGAAGGUGGGGAUGACGUCAAAUCAGCACGGCCCUUACGUCCAGGGCUACACACGUGUUACAAUGGCCAGUACAGAGGGCAGCCACCCCGCGAGGGGGCGCUAAUCCUAAAAGCUGGUCCCAGUUCGGAUCGGAGUCUGCAACCCGACUCCGUGAAGCUGGAUUCGCUAGUAAUCGCGCAUCAGCCACGGCGCGGUGAAUACGUUCCCGGGCCUU
rnacentral:rRNA from 1 species